AUUGAACGCUGGCGGCAGGCCUAACACAUGCAAGUCGAACGAGUGGCGGACGGGUGAGUAAUGUCUGGGAAACAGCCCGAGGGAGGGGGAUAACUACUGGAAACGGUAACUAAUACCGCAUACCAUCGGGUGGGCACAGAUGGGAUUAGCGAGUAGGUGGGGUAACGGCUCACCUAGGCGACGAUCCCUAGCUGGUCUGAGAGGAUGACCAGCCACACUGGAACUGAGACACGGUCCAGACUCCUACGGGAGGCAGCAGUGGGGAAUAUUGCACAAUGGGCGCAAGCCUGAUGCAGCCAUGCCGCGUGUAUGAAGAAGGCCUUCGGGUUGUAAAGUACUUUCAGCGAGGAGGCGUUACUCGCAGAAGAAGCACCGGCUAACUCCGUGCCAGCAGCCGCGGUAAUUC
rnacentral:rRNA from 1 species